AUUAUAAAACAAAAUAAACUAAAAAAAGAAAAAGAAAAACGCACGCACGCAUAGUCUAUUCAGUAACAGUGCUACAGGCUAUAGCCUAUAUGCUAUGUUCACAUCACAUACCACAACUAAAGUGACCGGACACGAUUGAACCGCAGUCAGCCGAACGUCAACCCACCGAACCGCUUAAACCGGAGAACCGUUUGAACCGUAUUCCACGGUUACGGUUUCCAAAUUCUCAGCCCGGCCCGGCCCGAACCGGACCGUCAGUAUUGGCGUGCCGGUGACGGUUCCACUGGUGACGGUUCCAAAACCGCCUGAACCGGCCCGAACCGCCCCGGCCCGCCCGAAUGGCCGGGUCUA
rnacentral:lncRNA from 1 species